rnacentral:rRNA from 1 species
GACGUUAAGCAAAUCCCAGAAAUAACGUCCCAGUUCGGAUUGUAGUCUGCAACCCGACUACAUGAAGCUGGAAUCGCUAGUAAUCGCGAAUCAGAAUGUCGCGGUGAAUACGUUCCCGGGUCUUGUACACACCGCCCGUCACACCAUGGGAGUCGGGAGUGCCUGAAGUUCGUGACCGUAUAGGAGCGACCUAGGGCAAGACUGAUGACCGGGGCUAAGUCGUAACAAGGUACC